UUUUUUUUUCUUUUUUUUUUUUUUUUUUAUUUAUCAGAGUAUACACUACAGGUUAAUUUCUUCAAAGUGUGACUUAACCAGGACAGGAGCUAAUUGUAGUAUAUUAGCCAAUGUUUUGUAAACUAUGCUGGACUGGAUGCUCUGUCUUGUUCAAAAAUGCAUCAUUUCAGUGGGAAGUUGAAAUGAUGUUUUUUAAUUGUUUACAGUUCGGUGUGGUCAUCAAUGGUAGACCUGAAAUACACUGGUCAUUCAGAGAUCCUUGUGAGAGCCAUGGUUUCCCUUGAUGUAUAAACAACCUGCCAGUCUCAUUGGCACUAGAAUGACCCAAGCCCCAAACAAUUUCACACAUGUAUGGGAAAAAAAAAGCACAAUUUGCACAUUAUAGUUUAUUAGAACCCAGUGCAGGUGACAUUCAACGGUAGGACUAUGUGUGACUGACACUUGGGAUAUAUGUAUAUAGCACUUUUGUUGCAAUAAAGAGGUAGACUUCAGAAAAAUGGUUAUGCCUGUGAGAAUAUUUAGAUGUUACAUAUCUCUCCAUUUUACCCACAAAGCACAAUACUCAACAAAAAUAAUUUAAUGUUCCCUUAAUAUAUCCAUUCAUUUGACAUAGGUACUAUGCCUGUAGAUCUAUAAAGAUUUUUUUUUGCAAUUCUAUGUAUUAAUAUAUUUAACAGUUUUCAGACCAAAUGUAAGUAGUAUGUAUGCACAGGCACAUACUAGUAGUAUCAAUUUUAUUGUCUACAGUGUCUCUAAAGUAGAAAUUACAGAAAUAAUAGAGCACUGGCUGGAAAACUACAGUCUACUAUACUGCAUUUGAUAUAUUUGACUGUGGUCAUGGAGCUGAAACACAUAAACCAAAAUCAAGUUAAAUUACUAGAUCAGAAAAUUUGUCUUAUUCACAAACUACUGAUCAUCUGCUGCUACAUAUUCAAAACUUGAAGUAUCUGAAUUAUCUUACUUAUCCUGGGAGUUUUAUUAUACCUCUAUUACUUUCAUUUUUCAUAUUAAUCUAUAGCUGGUAUAACUGUGCUGUAGUAGUUCUGAAUUCCCCAAAGUUUCUAAAUGAAAGAUGAUUUAAUUAAUCAAAAAUUUUUGAAUUACAGUAAUUUAUAACAUGUUACACAUAAGAAUUACUGGUGAAGUAAUUUCCUAAGAUGACAACAUACAGCCUGGAAUGCUAACUGUCUUGGUAAAUUGAGCCAAACAUAAGGAUCACAAAACUAUAGAAUGGUUUGGAUUGGGAGGGACCUUAGAAAUCCUCUAGUUCCAACCCUUCGGCCAUGGACAAGGAUGCUUUCCACUAGACCAGAUUGCUCAGAGACCCAGACAACAUGGCCUUGAACACUUCCAGGGAUGGGGCAUUACAACUUUUCUGAGCAACCUGCUCCAGUGUCUCACCACCCUCACAGUAAAGAAUUUAUUCCCAAUAUCUAACCUAAAUCUACUGUCUCUCAGUUUUAAGCCAUUCCCCCUUGUCAUUUCAACAUAUACUUUGGUAAAUAUUCUCUCUCCAUCUUAUAGGCUUUUUUAAGGUACUGGAAGGUACCUUAAAAUUAAUUAGGUCACCCCAAAUCCUUCUCUGUUUGAGGUUGAACAAUCCCAACUGUCUCAGCCUUCCCUCGUUGGAGAGAUGCUCCAUCCCUCUAAAAAGCUUGGUGGUUCUCGUUUGGACUUGCUUCAGAUAAUUUGAUAGAAUUCUGAUUUUCCAAGAUAUGAUUAAAUCACAUUUAAAGAUGUUUAUAAUGUGAUUUUACAUAUUUUUCUUUUACAUAUUUUUACAAAGUACAAUACUUUCAAAAGAGAACAAAUCUGUCAUAUAGUAUAGAUGAGUGCCUAUUUUAACCAAGUCCAUUUAUCCUUUUCAAUAUGAAUUCAGGGAUACUUUGAGAUUUUUAAUAUGUCUCACAAUGGUCUUUCAUCUAAAAUAAAAAACAGUUGUUUCUUCAAAGCCGGUCAAUUUACACUCCAGCCAUGAUAUCUAGCCAUAAUAUCUACAGUAAGAGCCAAAAUAUUUUAGUGUGUCUUAUUUUCGUGCCCUUUCCAACAUAUUUUUUUAAUGUCAUAUUUUUCACUGUCCCACUACAAUUAUGUAUGACAUUUUUAGGGUGGAAGAAAGAAUGCAAUUAUUAACGUAGAUUUAGAAAAGCAUUAUAGCAUUCAUUGCUGGCAAAAUUCUAAAGACUAAGAAUUUCACCUAACAGUAACUUCAGGAUCCUUCAGCCAUUGAAGUUCAAGACUGAAAACAUAGAUGCGUUUAUAUUUUCUUUAGAAGUUCCAUAAACAACAACAACAACAAACAACAAUUAAACAACAGCAAACAUCUAUCACAUAAAAAGAGUAAGACUUCAUUCAAAGGUCUCUGAUGCAGUGCAUUUUUGAAUAAGAAACAAACUCAGAGAGAUAAAGAAAAUAGAAACGGUAUUUAUAAGCAGCUCUGCCCAUUCUUGUGCAUAUCAUCAUUAAGAGUUCCUCCUUACUAAGAUUAAUUUCAACUGCUCAGUGACUUUUUGAGUUCUAGUGACAUGAUUUUCCCUUGGCCUGUUU
ensembl:lncRNA